GGCUGAGAUGGUAAAGAACCUGCCUGCAAUGCAGGAGACCUGGGUUCGAUCCCUG
rnacentral:tRNA from 1 species